rnacentral:lncRNA from 1 species
ACUGCUAAUGUGGCAUCUGGACAAGUCUCAGCAGCGCUGACCCUCCGUAAGCGUUGCCUCGUGUAGUAGCUGCCAGUUAUUGAGCGCUUUGGUUUUUUUUUUCUUUACAGAGUCUGUCUCAUGGGAGAUGAGGUAGGGACAGUCGUUUCUGAGACCGAUGUGUAAAGCGCCCUCCCUGCUUCCCAGCAAAUUGUGGCUACUAAUUUGCCCCCUGAAGAUCAAGAUGGCUCUGGGGAUGACUCUGACAACUUCUCCGGCUCAGGUGCAGGUGCUUUGCAAGAUAUCACCUUGUCACAGCAGACCCCCUCCACUUGGAAGGACACGCAGCUCCUGACGGCUAUUCCCACGUCUCCAGAACCCACCGGCCUGGAGGCUACAGCUGCCUCCACCUCCACCCUGCCGGCUGGAGAGGGGCCCAAGGAGGGAGAGGCUGUAGUCCUGCCAGAAGUGGAGCCUGGCCUCACCGCCCGGGAGCAGGAGGCCACCCCCCGACCCAGGGAGACCACACAGCUCCCGACCACUCAUCUGGCCUCAACGACCACAGCCACCACGGCCCAGAAGCCCACCAAACAGGAGGAAUUCUAUGCCUGACGCGGGAGCCAUGCGCCCCCUCCGCCCUGCCACUCACUAGGCCCCCACUUGCCUCUUCCUUGAAGAACUGCAGGCCCUGGCCUCCCCUGCCACCAGGCCACCUCCCCAGCAUUCCAGCCCCUCUGGUCGCUCCUGCCCACGGAGUCGUGGGGUGUGCUGGGAGCUCCACUCUGCUUCUCUGACUUCUGCCUGGAGACUUAGGGCACCAGGGGUUUCUCGCAUAGGACCUUUCCACCACAGCCAGCACCUGGCAUCGCACCAUUCUGACUCGGUUUCUCCAAACUGAAGCAGCCUCUCCCCAGGUCCAGCUCUGGAGGGGAGGGGGAUCCGACUGCUUUGGACCUAAAUGGCCUCAUGUGGCUGGAAGAUCCUGCGGGUGGGGCUUGGGGCUCACACACCUGUAGCACUUACUGGUAGGACCAAGCAUCUUGGGGGGGUGGCCGCUGAGUGGCAGGGGACAGGAGUCCACUUUGUUUCGUGGGGAGGUCUAAUCUAGAUAUCGACUUGUU